rnacentral:tRNA from 1 species
GAUUGCAGCUCAGUGGUAGAGCACUUGCCUAGCAUGUGUGAAGCACUGGGUUCAAACCCCAGCACCA